rnacentral:rRNA from 1 species
AUUGAACGCUGGCGGCAGGCCUAACACAUGCAAGUCGAACGGUAACAGGAAGAAGCUUGCUUCUUUGCUGACGAGUGGCGGACGGGUGAGUAAUGUCUGGGAAACUGCCUGAUGGAGGGGGAUAACUACUGGAAACGGUAGCUAAUACCGCAUAAUGUCGCAAGAGCAAAGAGGGGGACCUUCGGGCCUCUUGCCAUCGGAUGUGCCCAGAUGGGAUUAGCUAGUAGGUGGGGUAACGGCUCACCUAGGCGACGAUCCCUAGCUGGUCUGAGAGGAUGACCAGCCACACUGGAACUGAGACACGGUCCAGACUCCUACGGGAGGCAGCAGUGGGGAAUAUUGCACAAUGGGCGCAAGCCUGAUGCAGCUAUGCCGCGUGUAUGAAGAAGGCCUUCGGGUUGUAAAGUACUUUCAGCGGGGAGGAAGGGAGUAAAGUUAAUACCUUUGCUCAUUGACGUUACCCGCAGAAGAAGCACCGGCUAACUCCGUG